UUCUUAUUUAUUAUGAGAAGCACCCCCUGCUCAAUGAUAUGAUUGUAAAUAGCCGCAGAUAUUCUGUGCUAAGGUAGCAUAAUCAUUUGCUUUCUAAUUAAAAGCUAGAAUGAAAGGUUUAACGUUUUAAUUUCUUUUUUAUUUAUAUCUUAUUAAAAUUUUAUUAAAUAUAAAAAUAUAUUUAUACAUUAAAUAGACGACAAGACCCUGUUGAACUUAACUUUAGUUUAGCUGGGGCAGCUUAUUAAUUAUAAUUUUAAUUAAAUUUUAUUUAAUGAAUUAUCCAAUAUAAUUGAUUAAUUUAUCAAGUUACCACAGGGAUAACAGCGUAAUAUUAAUUUAAAGCUCAUAUUAAAAUUAAUGUUUGCGACCUCGAUGUUGAAUAUAAUUCUAUAUUAACGCAAUAGUUAUAAAAGUAGGGCUGGUCGCCCUUUAAUAUUCUACA
rnacentral:rRNA from 1 species